GUUUCACAUUCAUUCAAGUGGCUAUUGACAGGCCUCACGUCCUCAUUAGCUAUUGGCUUGUUCCUUUCCAUGUGGGUCUUUCCACAAGGCAGCUUACAACAUGGCAGCUGGCUUCUCUCAGAGCAAGUCAGCGAAAGAGUGAAAUAGAGCAAGCAAGGUGGAAGCCAAACUGUUCAAAAUCUAAUUUCAGAAGUACCAUCCUGUCACUUUUGCUGUAUUCUAUCCACUAAAAGGAAGUCACUAGAUCCAGUCUACAAUCAGAAGAAAAAAUUACACACAGACAAAAAUUGACAAAUGAAAGCCAUCUUAGAAGUUGUCUACCACAGAAGAGAUGGGGGUCUUCCAGCCUGUUGAGCCUGGCUGGCUCGAUCUCCUGGACUCAAGUGAUCCACCUGCUUUGCCCUCCGAGGUGCUGGGAUUACAUGUGUGAGCCACCGCACCUGGCCGAAUUUGCAAAAAUUUUGAUGAAAAUCUGUUCCUUCUUAAUUUCUUUAAGAAAAUUUUCUACAAGUGGAAUCGCUGGUGCCAGGAAUAUAUACAUUUUAAAAUCUUUGAAUAUUCUUGAAAAAAAUGUCAUGUAAAUGAUAUACAAGCAGAACAUUAAACUGCCUUUCCUCCGCAUCCCUGGCAAUCUUACCUACUGUUUUUGUAAACCGUAUAACCAUGUUUACAAAUGGCAUCUUGGUUUUUUUUUUUUUAACUUUGAUACUCUUGAUCUUUAUAUUAGUGAAAUAUUUCCUCUGUCCUCCACAUGGAAUGCUUUCAAUUCUUCCUAGAAUAUCUUCAUACCAGACUUCAGAAAAAUUCAGUAGGACAUUUUGACUUGGCUCUGUUCAUUUACCUUACCCAUUGGCAAUUGUUUUUUACUGUUUUAUUUUUAUUUUUAUUUUUUGGAGACAGAGUCUCAUUCUGUCACCCAGGCUGGAGUGCAGUGGCACGAUCUAGGCUCACCGCAACCUCCGCCUCCCAGGUUCAAGCGAUUCUCGUGCUCCAUCCUCCCUAGUAGCUGGAAUUACAGGUGUGUGCAACCACGCCGGGC
rnacentral:lncRNA from 1 species